UACGGGGGGGGCAAGCGUUGUUCGGAAUUACUGGGCGUAAAGGGCUUGUAGGCGGCCAACUAAGUCCGACGUGAAAUCCCCAGGCUUAACCUGGGAACUGCGUCGGAUACUGGAUGGCUUGAAUUCGGGAGAGGGAUGCAGAAUUCCAGGUGUAGCGGUGAAAUGCGUAGAUAUCUGGAGGAAUACCGGUGGCGAAGGCGGCAUCCUGGACCGACAUUGACGCUGAGGAGCGAAAGCCAGGGGAGCAAACGGG
rnacentral:rRNA from 1 species